UGACAAUCACACUGAGCACGCUGUCAUGAGAAGGGGACUCCGCAGUACCAAAAUAAAGAUGAGAGAAGGACUGAUGGGCAGCACAGAGGAGUGUCAGUAAUUCCAUCUGUGAUGGGGAAGAGUGUGGGACACAGAAUCAGGCCCUUUGAAACAGAACAGCAAUCCAGGACUCCCAUCUAGUGACAAAAAUGGCUGUGUGUAAUGACCCAUGAGUUUGGAAAAAGUGGUAGUAGGGGUAAUUUCAUCAGCACCCAGAAGAGGGCCUCCAACCCAGCUAACUCAAGGGCCAACGAGGGACUGAAGUUUGAAGACAAAAUAGAAGAGUGGAUCUGAGAGGGGGGUGGAAAAAAUGAGAGUGAAAAAGAGAGAUGGGGAUUCUUUACAUGAAUGAGAGAGAAAAACCCAUGGCAUUCUGAGCUCGGAAUUGGCUUCAAUUCUACGCUCUUAGAACCAGAGAAGAUAAUUGGCUGUAAGUCCCGGGGGUAAAAUAAAUCAAUGAACUUCCUCACGUGCAUUAAUGGAUACAACUUUAUAAGAUAAAGCAUUUUAUUAUCAAAGGCUCAACAGUUCAAUGUUUCCAAUAUUUACAACAUUUUAACAAUGACAAUCCCUCUACCGGUCCGAUAUGAUGCAAGGUCGCAUGGUACCGACAAAACUCCAUGAAGCCAAAACGUCUGCCUCUGAAAUGUAGCCUACAUUUGAAUUCAAAUCGGUGCUUUGAUUGCGUAUUAUCAUGUUCAAAACAACACAGAGCCAUCUGAAGUCUUUGGUUGUUCAACCAUAAGAAAACCUCAUUUCUGGGAAUCUAUCUAUAGGAUUCUCUGACUGUGUUUGAGAGUGCUCGUCUUUUUGCCGCUGAACCUUUGAGAGUUUACAGACUCAUG
rnacentral:lncRNA from 1 species